UACGUAGGGUGCAAGCGUUGUCCGGAAUUAUUGGGCGUAAAGAGCUCGUAGGCGGUUUGUCGCGUCUGCUGUGAAAACUCGGGGCUCAACUCCGAGCUUGCAGUGGGUACGGGCAGACUAGAGUGCGGUAGGGGAGACUGGAAUUCCUGGUGUAGCGGUGAAAUGCGCAGAUAUCAGGAGGAACACCGGUGGCGAAGGCGGGACUCUGGGCCGAUACUGACGCUGAGGAGCGAAAGCGUGGGGAGCAAACAGG
rnacentral:rRNA from 1 species